CCUACGGGCGGCUGUAGUGGGGAAUAUUGGACAAUGGGGGCAACCCUGAUCCAGCCAUGCCGCGUGUGUGAAGAAGGCCCUCGGGUUGUAAAGCACUUUCAGUGAGGAAGAACGCCUGGUGGUUAAUACCCAUCAGGAAAGACAUCACUCACAGAAGAAGCACCGGCUAACUCCGUGCCAGCAGCCGCGGUAAUACGGAGGGUGCGAGCGUUAAUCGGAAUUACUGGGCGUAAAGCGCGCGUAGGUGGCUUGAUAAGCCGGUUGUGAAAGCCCCGGGCUCAACCUGGGAACGGCAUCCGGAACUGUCAAGCUAGAGUGCAGGAGAGGAAGGUAGAAUUCCCGGUGUAGCGGUGAAAUGCGUAGAGAUCGGGAGGAAUACCAGUGGCGAAGGCGGCCUUCUGGACUGACACUGACACUGAGGUGCGAAAGCGUGGGUAGCAAACAGGAUUAGAUACCCCUGUAGUC
rnacentral:rRNA from 1 species